GGAUUGAAGGACAACCUGGGUAAGGUGUCUGUCAUCCCAUUGAAUGCUAGGGCUUAUCCAAACAAUCUGGCUAGCUGGGUGUGUAUACCCAUCCUCCCUCACUCCUCCUAUAUGCCAUUACUGAAACUAUGUGCUUGGACAAAGAGUAUGACGUUACCCUACAGAGGAGAAUAUGGUCUUUAAUCAUGAGUAUACUAGCAGCUGUGCUCCCCACACAAAUUCCACACACACACACACUCACGGGGGUACAGGGAGAAAGAGAAAGACAGAGAGCCCAAAUUGAUGGUCUAUGAGACCACUACUGAGUUA
rnacentral:snRNA from 1 species